AACGAACGCUGGCGGCAGGCCUAACACAUGCAAGUCGAACGCCCUAGCAAUAGGGAGUGGCAGACGGGUGAGUAACGCGUGGGAACGUGCCUUUCGGUUCGGAAUAACUCAGGGAAACUUGAGCUAAUACCGGAUACGCCCCUCGGGGGAAAGAUUUAUUGCCGAAAGAUCGGCCCGCGUCCGAUUAGCUAGUUGGGGGGGUAAAGGCUCACCAAGGCGACGAUCGGUAGCUGGUCUGAGAGGAUGAUCAGCCACACUGGGACUGAGACACGGUCCAGACUCCUACGGGAGGCAGCAGUGGGGAAUAUUGGACAAUGGGCGCAAGCCUGAUCCAGCCAUGCCGCGUGAGUGAUGAAGGCCCUAGGGUUGUAAAGCUCUUUCGCCAGGGACGAUAAUGACGGUACCUGGAUAAGAAGCCCCGGCUAACUUCGUGCCAGCAGCCGCCGUAA
rnacentral:rRNA from 1 species